rnacentral:rRNA from 1 species
UGUCAUAGAUUAAGCCAUGCCAUGUUAGUUCAGGUAACGAAACUGCGAAUAGCUCAUUAAUACGCUCAGAAUCUAUUUGACGGCAACCUUACAGGUUUUAAAUGGAUAGCAGCAGCAACUCUGGUGCUAAUACAUGCGAUUGUUUCUCCAGAAGUGAAUUAUGGAGGAAAAGUUGACCUCAUUCGAGGCACGUCAUUCGACUGAGUGACCUAUCAGCUAGUACUUAGGGUCUUUACCUAGGUAGGCUAUCACGGGUAACGGGCGGUUACCGUCGGACUGCCGGAGAAGGCGCCUGAGAGAUAGCGACUAUAUCCACGGGUAGCAGCAGGCGCGAAACUUUCCCACUCGAGACAUUCGGAGGAGGUAAUGACCAGUUUCAUGUAAAGCUUAUGCUUUUGUGAAUAGGAUCACACUUUUCCAGUGUGGUGAAACCUAGCAGAGGGCCAGUCUGGUGCCAGCAGCUGCGGUAAUUCCAGCUCUGCGAGUUUGCUCCCAUAUUGUUGCAGUUAAAACGCCCGUAGUCUGAAUUGGCCUGCAAAGGUCUUACGUUUUUUUCUCAGGCAGCAAUGUCUGAGAAACGUUCACUGUGAACAAAUCAGGACGCUUAGAGUAUGGUUACAAGAAUGACUCAGCGCAGUAUGAAUUUUUUGUUUUCUUCGGAAAACAAGCUCAACGAGUAGCCAUCGGGGGUAGAUCUAUCUCAUGACGAGUGGUGGAAUACGGUGACUCAUGAGAGAGACACGGAGGCGAAGGCGUCUACCUAGAGGGUUUCUGUCGAUCAAGGGCGAGAGUAGGAGUAUCCAACAGGAUUAGAGACCCUGGUAGUUCCUACUAUAAACGAUGCCGACAGGAGUUUGUCAUUUAAUAACUGGCAGAAUCUUUGGAGAAAUCAUAGUUCUUGGGCUCUGGGGGAACUACGACCGCAAGGCUGAAACUUGAAGGAAUUGACGGAAGGGCACACCAGGGGUGGAGCCUGUGGCUUAAUUUGAAUCAACACGGGGAAACUUACCAGGACCAGAUGUUUUUUAUGACUGACAGGCUUUGGGUCUUUCAGGAUAUGAUUUUUGGUGGUGCAUGGCCGUUGGUGGUGCGUGGGUUGACCUGUCUAGCGUUGAUUCAGCUAACGAGCGAGAUUAUCGCCAAUUAUAUACUACGCCUAGGUUUCUAGGUUGCAGUUCUAAUUGGGACUCCCUGCGAUUUUAGCAGGCGGAAGAGGGUAGCAAUAACAGGUCCGUGAUGUCCUUUAGAUGCUCUGGGCUGCACGCGUGCUACAAUGUUAGGAUCAAUAGGAAAUAUUUUAUAUACUCUGCAAACCUGAAAGGGCGAGCUACUCCUAUAAUCCCUAACGUAGUUGGGAUUGACGUUUGUAAUCAGCGUCAUGAACCAGGAAUCCCUUGUAAAUGUGUGUCAACAUCGCACGUUGAAUACGUCCCUGCCCUUUGUACACACCGCCCGUCGCUCCUACCGAUUGGAUGACUCGGUGAAAUCACCGGAUUCACUUAGGUGAAGAAAGUGAUUAAAUCACGUUAUCUAGAGGAAGGAGAAGUCGUACAAAGGGUAACGGAAAAAACCUUGUUCU